rnacentral:rRNA from 1 species
UGGGCAACCUGCCCUCAGCUCUGGGAUAACCCCGGGAAACCGGGGCCAAUACCGGAUACGACCUCCACGGGCAUCUGCGGAGGUGGAAAGGUUUUCCGGCUGAGGAUGGGCCCGCGGCCUAUCAGCUAGUUGGUGGGGUGAUGGCCCACCAAGGCGACGACGGGUAGCCGGCCUGAGAGGGCGACCGGCCACACUGGGACUGAGACACGGCCCAGACUCCUACGGGAGGCA